UUAAAACUCAAAUGAAUUGACGGGGGCCCGCACAAGCGGUGGAGCAUGUGGUUUAAUUCGAUGCAACGCGAAGAACCUUACCUACUCUUGACAUCCAGAGAACUUAGCAGAGAUGCUUUGGUGCCUUCGGGAACUCUGAGACAGGUGCUGCAUGGCUGUCGUCAGCUCGUGUUGUGAAAUGUUGGGUUAAGUCCCGCAACGAGCGCAACCCUUAUCCUUUGUUGCCAGCGGUUCGGCCGGGAACUCAAAGGAGACUGCCAGUGAUAAACUGGAGGAAGGUGGGGAUGACGUCAAGUCAUCAUGGCCCUUACGAGUAGGGCUACACACGUGCUACAAUGGCAUAUACAAAGAGAAGCGACCUCGCGAGAGCAAGCGGACCUCAUAAAGUAUGUCGUAGUCCGGAUUGGAGUCUGCAACUCGACUCCAUGAAGUCGGAGUCGCUAGUAAUCGUAGAUCAGAAUGCUACGGUGAAUACGUUCCCGGGCCUUGUACACACCGCCCGUCACACCAUGGGAGUGGGUUGCAAAAGAAGUAGGUAGCUUAACCUUCGGGAGGGCGCUUACCACUUUGUGAUUCAUGACUGGGGUGAAGUCGUAACAAGGUAACCGUAGGGGAACCUGCGGCUGGAUCACCUCCUU
rnacentral:rRNA from 1 species